ensembl:snRNA U4 U4 spliceosomal RNA
AGCUUUGCACAGUGGCAGUAUUGUAGCCAAUGAGGUUUAUCCAAGACGCGAUUAUUGCUAAUUGAAAACUUUUCCCAAUACCCCGCCAUGACGACUUGAAAUAUAGUCAGCAUUGGCAAUUUUUGACAGUCUCUAUGGAGA